rnacentral:sRNA from 1 species
CUACUCACUGAAUAUUAUUAACUAACAACUUAGCAAAAGUGCAGUUCAAAAUAAAUGCAAGAGUAAAUAGCAUUUAAUUUGGUAAUUUGGAUUUUUUUUUUUUUUUCUUUUGAGACGAGGGUCCCACCCUGUCACCCAGGCUGGAGUGCAGUGGUGCAGUCUUGGCACACGCAACCUCCGCAUCCCAGGCUCAAGCAAUUCUUCAGCCUUAGCCUCCUGAGUAGCUGGGACUACAGGCAUGCACCACCAUGGCCUGGCUAAUUUUUUUUGUUUUUUGUAGAGGCAGGGUUUCGCCAUGCUGCCCAGGCUGGUCUCGAACUCCUGAGCUCAAAGCAGUCCACCUGCCUCGGCCUCCUAAAGUACUGGGAUUACAGGUGUGAGCCACCGUGCCCGGCCAGUAAUUUGGAUUUCUGACAUGCUUUUAGCAAAGUUUCUAGUAAAUUAUUGUGGAAUUAGUGCUAAUUCGUGUAAUCUUUGUUUUAUUGAAGUACAAUAAAUAUAGUACAAUAAAUACGUUAAUACGGUAAGUUGCACAAAUUUUAAGUGUACAUCUUGAUGAAUUUUAAAGUAAACAUAUAUAACCUUUAUCUAAUUUAAGGGGCAGACUAUUUCAAGACCCUAAAAACAUCCCUCAUGGCCUCCCCAGGUCGUAGUAUUAGAGUAAUCUUGUCUUGUUUUUUCCAGAUAACAAAGCUUUAUUCGUCAUUUCCAUGUCAGACAAUGGAGCUCAGAUUUAUGAACUGGUGGCACAGACAGUUUCUGAAAAGACGGUCUGGCAGGACCUAAUCUGUCGGAUGGCUGCAUCAGUGAAGGAGCAGUCCACAAAGCCAAUUCCAUUACCACAGUCAACACCUGGCGAAGGAGAUAAUGAUGAAGAAGAUCCUUCAAAAUUAAAAGAGGAACAGCAUGGCAUUUCAGUCACUGGUUUGCAGAGUCCAGACAGAGAUUUGGGAUUAGAAUCUACCUUAAUAUCAUCAAAACCUCAGUCUCAUUCACUGAGUACCUCUGGGAAAUCAGAGGUACGUGAUCUGUUUGUGGCUGAGAGACAGUUUGCAAAGGAACAACAUACAGAUGGGACGCUAAAGGAAGUUGGAGAAGAUUAUCAAAUUGUAAUCCCAGAUUCACACCUGCCUGUCUCAGAAGAACGGUGGGCAUUGGAUGCACUAAGAAAUUUGGGUUUCUUGAAGCAGUUGCUGGUGCAACAGCUAGGUUUGACUGAGAAGAGCGCUCAGGAAGACUGGCAACAUUUCCCAAGAUAUAGGACAGCCUCUCAGGGGCCGCAGACAGACAGUGUCAUCCAGAACUCUGAAAAUAUUAAGGC